rnacentral:rRNA from 1 species
AAAAACAUCACCUCUAGCAUAACUAGUAUUAGAGGCACUGCCUGCCCAGUGACAAUCGUUAAACGGCCGCGGUAUCUUGACCGUGCAAAGGUAGCAUAAUCACUUGUUCUCUAAAUAAGGACUUGUAUGAAUGGCCACACGAGGGUUUUACUGUCUCUUACUCUUAAUCAGUGAAAUUGACCUCCCCGUGAAGAGGCGGGGAUAAUACAAUAAGACGAGAAGACCCUAUGGAGCUUUAAUUAAUCAGCUCAAAAAGCAUAAAAUAAUACCACCAAGGGAUAACAAAGCUUUAAAUGGGCUGACAAUUUCGGUUGGGGUGACCUCGGAGUAUAAAAAACCCUCCGAGUGAUUAAAACUUAGGCCUACCAGCCAAAGUAUAAUAUCACUUAUUGAUCCAAAAUUUUGAUCAACGGAACAAGUUACCCUAGGGAUAACAGCGCAAUCCUAUUCUAGAGUCCAUAUCGACAAUAGGGUUUACGACCUCGAUGUUGGAUCAGGACAUCCUAAUGGUGCAGCAGCUAUUAAGGGUUCGUUUGUUCAACGAUUAAAGUCCUACGUGA